CAAUCAAGUGAUGAGAGAAACUGCAACAAUAUGAACGGAUACAUUCCAUGAUUCUCUUGGGAUUUAAGUCUCGGAUGAUA